rnacentral:rRNA from 1 species
UUAAGCAUAUAAGUAAGCGGAGGACAAGAAACUAAAUAGGAUUCCCUCAGUAAUGGCGAAUGAACAGGGAUAAGCUCAGCAUGGAAAUUGGGGCCUCUGGCCUUGAAUUGUAGUCUUGAGAUGGCAUUGCCAGUGGAGGCGCAGAUGUAAGCCUCUUGGAAAAGAGCAUCAAUGAGGGUGAGAGUCCCGUUUGUCAUCUGCAGUCCCCCAUAAACGGUGUGCUUUCUAAGAGUCACGUUCCUUGGGAUUGGAGCGCAAAUUGGGUGGUAAAUUUCAUCUAAAGCUAAAUAUUGGUUCGAGACCGAUAGCAAACAAGUACCAUGAGGGAAAGGUGAAAAGGACUUUGAAAAGAGAGUUAAAAGUGCCUGAAAUUGCUGAAAGGGAAGCGAAUGGAACCAGUCUUCUGGGCGAGAUUGUUGCGCGCUACUGUGAUUGCCUGCUGCUUCAACGCAAGUGUCGCAGUGGGUUUUGAGCAUGACGUGCGCUUUGUUUCUUGCCUCGUGUGUCAACGUCGGUUCGGACUUGAGGAAAACUCCAGGGACAUGGUAAAUCGCUCGUGGGUGAUUGAAUGUGCUUGGCAGAACUCAUUUCUUAACUGAUUUCUGCAUGUCUGGUCGCAGUGCCUCGUUGCCUGCGCUCGCUGCCUCGGGUCUGGAGCUUCAGCUCUUCCUCGUUGCUUUGAGCCUGGUCGUGUGGCAUCUCCCUGACAUAAGUACGAUGACAAAAUGGUUUCAUUCGACCCGUCUUGAAACACGGACCAAGGAGUCUAACAUAUGUGCAAGUUCACGGGUGUUAAACCUGAUUGCGCAAUGAAAGUGACUGCUGGGAUAUUUGCACCAGCAACCGACCAAUCAAUUGUGAGAGGUUUGAGUAUGAGCAUAUCUGUUAGGACCCGAAAGAUGGUGAACUAUGCCUGAGAAGGGUGAAGUCAGGGGAAACUCUGAUGGAGGCUCGUAGCGAUACUGACGUGCAAA